rnacentral:tRNA from 1 species
UCCCCGGUGGCUCAGAUGGUAAAGCGUCUGCCUGCAAAGUAGAAGACCUGGGUUCGAUCCCUGGUUUGGGAA